GUUUGGCGAUUGGUUGUCCGGGUGGAAAACACAAUAAUAAAUUACUAUACGAUUAAUUAAGUAUUAAUUGUAAAAAAUUAAAAAAUAGGUUAAUAUAAUUUUUAAAGCAAUUUUUCUAUAGAAAAUUUUCGCAGAAAACACACCGUUUAACACUUUUGAAGUGUGAGCGUGGAAGAUAAGAGAAUCUAAAGUAGCAGUGGGGGAGAAGAAGGCGGCCU
rnacentral:lncRNA from 1 species